AAAUUUGGCCCCACCGAGCCGCCGCCCCGGCCUCACCACCGUGCCAUCGCCCAGGCCACCCGGCCUCACCACCGCGCCGCCGCCCAGGCCACCCGACCACGCACCGCGCUGCCGCCCUGGCCAUGCGGCCCCCAUCGCACCGCCACCCCGGCCACCCGACCCCCCAUCGCGCUGCCGCCCCGGCAACCGGAUCCCUACUGCGUGUUGCUGCCCCGGCCACCCGGCUCAGCGUCGCUCCACGUUUGGCUCCCAAGCCCCCGCCGUCGCGCGGGAUUCUGGCCCCCCGCUGGAUCCCCACCGACAAUGGCCUGAGCCGCACUGCCUAGUUAUCUCCUUCGUGAUCCAGGAGGUUCUGCUGCAGUCCUACUCCGACAUCCGCCGCGGGCCGCUACUACAGCAAAUAUCCGAGUUUUCUUGUUGAUUUAUGAGGGAUACCACAAGUUCUAUUUUUACAGAAGUUGAACUACAAGAUAUGAAGUUCGAUGGAUGUGGAGGUUCUUUUGACCUUGAACUUCAUAAGAGUUCAGCUUUUACUUGAUUUUCAGUUCAAAAUUUGCAUUCUUUUCAGUACAUCAACUUUAAUGUGCAGAACAUCAAGGAAACCUUGAAAAUAUAUAUGUGCACUCUAUGUCUUUUUCUUAUGCUUACCAGUAUUCUGCACUCAUACUGUUAUGCAUAAGUUCAGGUUGCGUGUGGAGUUUCAGAUAUAUGCAAUUGAAUUAGAGCACCAUGCUCUCACCCAUGUAAUUUGCAGGGAAAACAUAAUAAGUUCUAAGAAAAUAAAUAUAGAAGUUCAUAUUUCGAAACAAAUGAAGUAUUUGGGAAAUAAAAUGAAGUAUUUCAAAGUACAAAACUUCUAUUUAGGUUUCUUUUGGGUACUUCUAAUGUUACUGUGCAUGAACUUGUCGGUAUUUUUACAUGUUUUACAUGAUUGUGGUCAUUUCGACCUUGACAAAUUUCAUUUGCUUUUUUACGUUCAUCUUACAGGUCGAAGGAGCUCCCUUCUGUUCAAUGGAUUCAACAAAAUAAUCCAUGUUGCCUACUAGAACUUGCGUGUGUGCUGUGGCGUGUGUGCUGGUGCAUGCCUGGUGCCUGAUGUGGGGUGCGAGCAUGUACACAAAUUGAACUGAAUGAUCUCCAGUAAGUGAACUCAAUGAUCUCCUGUAUCUGAACGACAGGGGAGUUGCAUCAUGUACAAAAAAAUGGCAGGAUCUUGAGGUGUUGCUGCUACUUCUUUCUUCUCAUGCCCUACUAUUCCUCCAUUCGAUUCCAUGCUACUUAUAGGAGAAUAGUUGAUGGUCUAUAGGUGCUUGUUGAAAUGCUUAUGAGAACCAAUUUUUGUUGUUUGGUAUUUGGUAUAAUAGGGCAAUAGUUACAGAUGACAUAUAAGCUGAUGUUGUUUGGUAUUCAAACAGAUCAGUUCAAUAGUUAUAGUUUCAGUUUAAUUUAGGUUAGUUCAAUUACAAGCUGAUGUUUAGUUCCUAAUGUAGUAUUUUUGAGGCCAUCCUAUAGUAUUUCCUCUCAAUUUUGUUAGCAGAUGUGAUGCGUAGAACAUCAUCUCCACACACCCUCUAUUCAUGCACAUUACAGGCUUCUCCGGCCACCGCGCCACCUGGAUCCAACGAGGCUACGUCACACCGGCCCCGGAUCCGCCCACUUCCAAUGAGGCUGCGUCACUCGCUGGCGCACCUCUGCUUCGCCGUGGGCAGUGGAUGCUCCUCCGCAGGUCAACCUCCUGGUAGAGGGUAGUUCGAUUCUCCCUGUCGCGCUACGUUCAGCGCUCCCUCGAGCUCCACAAGAACUUCUUUCCUGCUGCGUCUGCACCUCUAAAAAGUUCACACUCUCGAAGGAGGGAUCAUUGUUUCUUAUUGGAGAAGGCAUGGUGUUUAGUUGGUGUCUGUGUGGUACCUACAACGGCAUUUUCCAUCAAGACCUCCAGAAAAGAGAUAUCAUCUCAAGUCUGGUGGUUCAGAUAUCCAGUUCAACAUCUGGUGGUUCUUCAGUUCAUCGUAGUGUGCAUUUUCACUUCAUCUUGCAGAUGGUUUUGAAAAUGUUUUGCACAUGUUUUUUUCCCGUGGAUCGAGCACCUGUUCCUCGUCGACCUGCAGCAGCAGGAGACACGAGGUCACCUCCGGCGUCGCUGGUCACGUGAAAGCCAUCAAAAAUGGCACUCCAUAAAAAAUAGGUUUACUUUUUCAUCCGUCCCUCUGAUUGUUUUGGAGAACAAAGAUGGGAGCAACCUGCAAUUUGUGCUGCAUGGUCACUAAAAAAGUUUGGAUCCUGACCAGAUUAUUCUCAAGAGAAAUUGUUUUGACUUGGUUAAAAUGGUCUUUUAUGCUAUCGCUCCUAUGGUGGGUCUGUCUAACAGAAGUUGGAGCAGUCAAGCCCAGCCAUGGCGUGCGUCCGCAGACGACGAUGAUGGCUUCGUUUGUGUGCCUGCGUGUGCUCAUAUGUUGUACUGGUAUGGGGUGUUUUUUUUCUGAUUCUAAUUGACGUUUUCACUUGGAUGUUUCUCUGAGACGCUCAAGUAUCACUGUCCAAAAGCUGCAGUUAUGAACUCACCCAUGGGUUCAGGUUACUCGCGCUGCUGGUCCUUAGUGCUAGUUGGAAUGAUUGUGAGCUUGUGAUCUCUCCGGAAAACGAGUAUUUCUUGCUCUUUCAGUUCUGUUUAUUGUCACGGUGA